UUGCUGAGCAAAGGUGAAAUGCCUGAGUUGCCAUAGCAGAUGGUAAAAGAGGAUGGAAAAAAAUAGAUGGAAAAUAGGAUCAGAAACAGUUCACUUUCCUUGGAAUGAACAACAAUAUUCAUUUACAGUUUUGCACCAGGACUAUGUUAGCUCGCCCACCCUCUGUCUUAAUAUAGUCCGAAGAGAUCUGGACCAUCUGGACAAGCUGCAGAAUAUCCCAUUGAUCCAUUACAUCAAUAUAAUGAAGACGUGGCUGUUAUGCUGGGGACCUGGGUUUUUCUCAAAAUAAGUCUCUUGGCCUCCUAAUUCUAUCUUGGCAUCUGCUCCCCGGAGAAUUCAAACUGACAUAAUGGAUUUGGGCAAGUCCACUAAUUUUUUUCUUCAUCUUCAAAGGAAGAGGUGCAGAAACUGAGGCCCAUACAAGUCAACUACCUUGUCCAUGGCCAUACAGAACUUAGAUUUUAAGCCAGAUUCAUUUGAUUCUAAUGCCAAUGCUCUUAAUUGCAUUGCUAUAGUGCUGUUGUUAACCUCUUGGAUAUGUGCUUAUCAAGCUUCUCUGAUUAAAUUGUAUGAUAUGUCAUGCAA